AAAACUUGAAGCACUUCAUGAUGAAUAUAUUAGUUUUCUGUGGAAAAAUGUGCCUCUGUGCUGAGAGAGUUCCAUUUGGCUGUAGAGACAAUUACAGAUGUUUUACUUGAAAAGGGAGAGAUUAAAGCAGAAGAAAUCUGGGAUAUAUACAAUAGGGCACCUCGAAUAUCUCAGCCUACUGUUAAUCCAGUUGAGGAAUAUGGAGCCCUGAUUUAUUCCGGGCAAUGGGGAAUCCAUGGG